CAGACUUACUCCACCAGCAUGCUCACUUCCGCCAUGCUUUGUGCGCGGGGGUCUCCCCUGACCUUUCUUCCUGAUGUAACGACCCACAGCCUCCCCAAAAGAUUACAUUUCAUUCCAGAGUCUGCCAAGAGAAUGGAAAGCACUUCAGGCAUUCCAGGGGAAGAUUUAAUACAGGGAACCAGUUACAACUUUGUUGGGAGGGACGCAGGAGCAAGUCAACUAGGGGCUGUCACCAAAGGAAAUGCCUGAAGUCCCACUCAGAAGUAAAUGCUCUUUGCUGAAACUGGAAGGAGACAAUUCCUAUUUUCCCAACCUGCAGUUGAGGUUCCCUGUGCUCCGGGAAAGCGAGAAAACUCCCAACGAGGAACACAUUUGAGUCAGUAGAACUCAGGAGCCAGUUUGAGUAACUUUCCACCAACCAGAGAUGGGACAGUGUGAGCGCCAAUGAGUACGGUGUAACUGCAAUAUACUAUUAAUAAAGUGUAUAAAAUGUUUAAAUCCAUGAAAUUAAAAUAUUGUUUAAAAAAAAG